GUAGUACUAGUGUCUCUACCGUCAUGGUACAGCCGCAGAAUCACAGCCGCGGUUUCUUCAAUCGCCUUAUUCGUCACAUCUGCAAGCGCCACAACCCCAAGAAUAACACAUGAGAAUACUCUGCCUACUUGUUAACUUUUUUUCUUACUAGCAUUAAAAGGAAAGAAAAAAACAGCAUUUUGAGUAGCAAAUGAGAAUGGUGUUUAAGUUUUGUUUACCUAUCACUGCCCAUCCGGGGUUUCGCUCAUAGAUCCUUGACGCGAAAUCUAGUUCUUUCCGAACAAGAUCAAUCCCCGAGUAAUUGUUCUCUGCCUCUGUAUCUACGCCUAGCGUUUUAACCCUUGUUCUUCUAAUCGCUUGCAGUACAACGAGCUGGAUCUUCAAACCAAAAACUUUUCUCGGUUCAACCUGAAAGAGCGUCCUGGGUGGUUCCACGCCCAUCACAAACGGCACAUUAGCAACUUUGUACCCUUUUUGAGCAAUGUAAGUGGACAAGGGCGUCUUCCCUGUCCGGGAAACCCCGACAAGAACUAUAUCAGCCUUGCUUAAGUUCUCAGGUGCUCCACGUGUAAGACCUGACGGAGAAACACCUAAGUGAGACGCAAUCCCUUCGAUGAUUGGUCCUAGAAUAUCAACCGAAAGCACACCCAACUGAUCACAAGCUUGCUUUGCGGAUUUUGCCAUAGAAGGAUUUGCUAAAGUGUAGAAACACAUUGCCCCUUCCUUUGCCGCUUGCUUAAUAAUCUCGAUAAGCCUCUCCUCAUCCUCAACCUGAUCAAUCCCCAACCCAAAACCAAAGAGAAGAGAUGGGUAUUCACAGAAGAGCCACGAUUCAACGAAAAAUCUUCGAAUUGUCCCAAAGCGGCGUUAACGGAAUGCUCUGCCGUCCACCCAGUUCCGUCGGAAACCAAAUAUAUAGACUUUCCCGCCGUUACCUCCACGUCGAUCGCCGUCGUCUUCUUAUCAGCCUCAUCGGUCGGUUGGGCUUCCGUUACUUGACGGCGAGGUGAGUUAUCGGAACGGGGAAUUGGACGGUCAAGCUUAACACCAGAUCUUAAAGCUCGGCCCCUAGACCACCGAUUCAAUUUGGGACUAAUCUUCAGCUUCGGACUCGACGAACCUGUCGGAAUUGGAGGUUCGGAAUUAGGCUCGUGAUGGCCCGAGACGCCGUGUAAAUUCAUAUCGCCAAAGUUUAUGAUAACUUUUUUUUUUUUUUUUUUCUGAGCGACGGUUAAGGCGUUAACCGCU